rnacentral:lncRNA from 1 species
UAAAAUUGUUUAUCAGGUCAAGAUCUAUCUGCCCUGAAAUUUUCAGAUGAAUCAGACAACCCGUUGUUGGGUUGCUGCCCCUGAAUAUGUAAUUUUAAGGAAAUUUUGCUGUUUUUGGUUAUCUUGAAUAUUAUUAUAGAUAAAGAUAAACUGUAAACAGCAAUAAUGUUCAGCAAAGUAAGAUUUACAAAUAAGUCAACAUGACCGAAAUGGUCAAUUGACCCCUUUAGGAGUUAUUGCCCUUUAUAGUCAAUUUUUAACCAUUUUUCGUAAAUCUUAGUAAUCUUUUACAAAAAUAUUCUCCUCUGAAACUACUGGGCCAAAUUAAUCCAGACUUGGCCACAAUCAUCAUUGGGGUAUCUAGUUUAAAAAAUGUGUCCGGUGACCAGGCCAACUAACCAAGAUGGCCGCCACGCCUAAAAAUAGAACAUAGGGGUAAAAUGCAGUUUUUGGCUUAUAACUCAAAAACAAAAGCAUUUAGAGCAAAUCUGACAUGGGUGAAAAAUUUUAUCAGGUCAAGAUCU